rnacentral:rRNA from 1 species
UGCGGAAGGAUCAUUAAAUAAUCAAUAAUUUUGGCUUGUCCAUCAUUAUCUAUUUACUGUGAACUGUAUUAUUACUUGACGCUUGAGGGAUGUUCCAAUGCUAUAAGGAUAGGCACUGGAAAUGUUAACCGAGUCAUAAUCAAGCUUAGGCUUGGUAUCCUAUUAUUAUUUACCAAAAGAAUUCAGAAUUAAUAUUGUAACAUAGACGUAAAAAAUCUAUAAAACAACUUUUAACAACGGAUCUCUUGGUUCUCGCAUCGAUGAAGAACGUAGCAAAGUGCGAUAACUAGUGUGAAUUGCAUAUUCAGUGAAUCAUCGAGUCUUUGAACGCAACUUGCGCUCAUUGGUAUUCCAAUGAGCACGCCUGUUUCAGUAUCAAAACAAACCCUCUAUCCAACUUUUGUUGAAUAGGAUGACUGAGAGUCUCUUGAUCUAUUCUGAUCUUGAACCUCUUGAAAUAUACAAAGGCCUGAUCUUGUUUGAAUGCCUGAACUUUUUUUUAAUAUAAAGAGAAGCUCUUGCGAUAAAACUGUGCUGGGGCCUCCCAAAUAACACAUCUUUAAAUUUGAUCUGAAAUCAGGUGGGAUUACCCGCUGAACUUAAGCAUAU